UACGGGGGGGGGCAAGCGUUGUUCGGAAUUACUGGGCGUAAAGGGCUCGUAGGCGCCAACUAAGUCAUACGUGAAAUCCCUCGGCUUAACCGGGGAACUGCGUCUGAUACUGGAUGGCUUGAGUUCGGGAGAGGGAUGCGGAAUUCCAGGUGUAGCGGUGAAAUGCGUAGAUAUCUGGAGGAACACCGGUGGCGAAGGCGGCAUCCUGGACCGAUACUGACGCUGAGGAGCGAAAGCCAGGGGGAGCAAACGGG
rnacentral:rRNA from 1 species